AACAAUUUGUCGAAGUUUAUAAAGUAUAUAAAAGGAAACUGGAAUUAAUAACGUAAUUUAUGAUUUUGGUUGGAAAGGAUAAUGUUUUUCAUAAUUAUAUCAGUAUUGACUUUUCUAAGCCUUUCCACUACUGAAGCUAGUGAGUAUUACAUAUAUAAGGAACAUACAACAUGGACGGAAGCACUGAACAGUUGUGCCCUUGCAUUACCAGAAUUUCGAGAAGAGUCAGGAGAAACUGUUGUCAGUAUCUCAAACACAGUAACAGACGAUCUUUGGGUUGGAUAUUACAAGGCGCUUGUAGGAUUUGAAUACAAAGGCUGCAUUAGAAAUACAAAUUUUACGCCCCGGAUGGAAUCAGCAAAAUUAACAAUAGGUCUUUGUUACUAUGCCUGUGGAAGGAAACAAAUUGUUGGUAUAAGUGGAAAGAAAGUGAGAAAUGUUUAAAUGCUUGAAGUAUUUCUUCAUUUAUUUACACGAAAUAAAAAUCUUUGAAAGAUUAAACUUGGUACUAUCAUGAUUUUCAUUUUGAUCUUGGUAAUCGCACUCGCUAUGAUGGGUAUCUUUUUUGGUGAUUUCUACUAUUUCUAUGUUUAUCUUAAAUUGUUAUAUAGAAAUAGUUUGUAGAAGAUAGCCCAAGUGACAAUCCAAACUCUUGCACGUUUAUUAACUAUAUUGUUUAUAAAAGCAUAUGUCUCUAUUUUAAUCAUUGUUAUUGUGAUGAUCAGAUGAAUUUUGACGAGGAUGUCCAAUUCACCUUUUGUUACCGUUCUAGAAAUUAUAUUGAAAACGUACAUAACACGUGCGACCAAAAUGGUUGUGUGUCAAUCUACAAGGUUAAUAAUAAAGUCACUAAACAUCAGACUCGAAAUGUUAAUGAUGGAAUGUGUCUGAAGUUUGAAUCUGUGCGAUAUGGACGGUAUGCUUGGACAGACUGUGGACAACAUAACCUAGCGUUUUGUGAUUUUGGUAUGUUUCUGUUAUCGCAUGAAAUAAGUAAUGUUAUUUUCCCACAUAGGGAAUGGAGAGAUAAGAAGAAUGUUAAGAAAUGUUAAGCCAUACAAAUACCAAAAAUUGCAAUUUUCAGCAAAGAAUGUCCAUUCGAGUUGAUGAAUUAUGUUUUUAUCAAGAUAUUUAAAAAAUAUGCGUCUAUUUAUUAGGGACAACGGUGCUGGGUUAAUGUAAGUAGAAUAACAAAAUUUCGUACACGAAAUGUUAUGCCGUUUGACAACGGAGUGUUUGAAAAAAAUUGUACUUUCAACAAUGUCAUCAUAUUCUCUGCUUCUUAGUCGUAUUGUCAUAAGUCCCUGUUUUUGCAGCACAACCUGAUAAUGGCCAAACAUAUCCAAUAUUGGCCAAAUCGCAAUAUAAUGUUCAACUUAUAUUCCAUUUUGGCUUUAUGGUUCCCUCAAAUCGUAUUAAUAAUAUUAUAUACUAAAAUGUAUUGUUUACUACAAAUUGCCUGAAACACAUCUUUUGUUUACAAAACCCUUUCAUUCAACUUGCA
rnacentral:misc_RNA from 1 species